AGCGCCGGCGACCGGUGAAGAUAAGAAUAAGCGUAAGGGAAGCAGCAAGGUCGGACGUAGACCUCAACGAGAUAGCAAGGGCAGAGGAUCAAAGGAUUCACAUGGUAGUGGAGAUUUCUCGGAGACCAACACUUAUGCUCAAGGGUUGUCAAAAAAAGGCACCGAGUCUGAAGAAUUGGAGAUUGCUCCUUCCCCUCCCCAUGAUGAUGGUCUGUUUGAUUAUUGUUUUAGAGUUUGCA